rnacentral:rRNA from 1 species
UACGUAGGGUGCAAGCGUUAAUCGGAAUUACUGGGCGUAAAGCGUGCGCAGGCGGUUUUGUAAGUCUGUCGUGAAAUCCCCGGGCUCAACCUGGGAAUUGCGAUGGAGACUGCAAGGCUAGAAUCUGGCAGAGGGGGGUAGAAUUCCACGUGUGAGCAGUGAAAUGCGUAGAGAUGUGGAGGAACACCGAUGGCGAAGGCAGCCCCCUGGGUCAAGAUUGACGCUCAUGCACGAAAGCGUGGGGAGCAAACAGGAUUAGAGUACCC